rnacentral:rRNA from 1 species
AGAGUUUGAUCCUGGCUCAGGACGAACGCUGGCGGCGUGCCUAAUACAUGCAAGUCGAACGCUUCUUUCCUCCCGAGUGCUUGCACUCAAUUGGAAAGAGGAGUGGCGGACGGGUGAGUAACACGUGGGUAACCUACCCAUCAGAGGGGGAUAACACUUGGAAACAGGUGCUAAUACCGCAUAACAGUUUAUGCCGCAUGGCAUAAGAGUGAAAGGCGCUUUCGGGUGUCGCUGAUGGAUGGACCCGCGGUGCAUUAGCUAGUUGGUGAGGUAACGGCUCACCAAGGCCACGAUGCAUAGCCGACCUGAGAGGGUGAUCGGCCACACUGGGACUGAGACACGGCCCUGACUCCUACGGGAGGCAGCAGUAGGGAAUCUUCGGCAAUGGACGAAAGUCUGACCGAGCAACGCCGCGUGAGUGAAGAAGGUUUUCGGAUCGUAAAACUCUGUUGUUAGAGAAGAACAAGGACGUUAGUAACUGAACGUCCCCUGACGGUAUCUAACCAGAAAGCCACGGCUAACUACGUGCCAGCAGCCGCGGUAAUACGUAGGUGGCAAGCGUUGUCCGGAUUUAUUGGGCGUAAAGCGAGCGCAGCGGUUUCUUAAGUCUGAUGUGAAAGCCCCCGGCUCAACCGGGGAGGGUCAUUGGAAACUGGGAGACUUGAGUGCAGAAGAGGAGAGUGGAAAUUCCAUGUGUAGCGGUGAAAUGCGUAGAUAUAUGGGAGGAACACCAGUGGCGAACGCGGCUCUCUGGGUCUGUAACUGACGCUGAGGCUCGAAAG